UACGUAGGGGGCAAGCGUUGUCCGGAUUUAUUGGGCGUAAAGAGCGUGUAGGCGGCCAGAUAGGUCAGCUGUGAAAACUCGAGGCUCAACCUCGAGACGUCGGUUGAAACCAUCUGGCUAGAGUCCGGAAGAGGAGAGUGGAAUUCCCGGUGUAGCGGUGAAAUGCGCAGAUAUCGGGAAGAACACCCGUGGCGAAGGCGGCUCUCUGGGACGGUACUGACGCUGAGACGCGAAAGCGUGGGUAGCAAACAGG
rnacentral:rRNA from 1 species